GGGGAGCUUGAGAAAAAUCUGUGUGUGGGUGCAGCAAGGCAUUCAUGUUCUAGGGUGGUGGGGGGUACACACACACAUGCACAUAGACUCGCAUGCACCCACGCACACACACUUCCACUCUAAGCAACGGGCCAAGUAUACUGCAGUCAUAUCGUCUUCAGUCUUUACACAGGCAAUGUUUUAAGCCUCACCUAACUGAAGCAUCAGCUGAAUUUCUGUCAACAUGAGGACACUGGCUGCUCUUCUGGCUCAGGUGCUGGUCAUCCCAGUUAGUGCUCAGUAUGGUCCCACUACACACACAUGCUGUGAAAGACACUACCUUCAGGCACUUCCAGCAGUGGAUGCCGCCUCAAAGCUCAUGUGUUUAAAACAGUGGCAAAAAAGGUGUUCUGUGUGAACCCAGACCUGCCCUGGGUAAAGAAGAUUGUCACCAAGCUGGACAGGAAGCCAAGGGCUGCUACAAACUGUGAAUGAAUCUGUAAAUGAAUCAUCACCAUCUAUGGCAGUUUCUGCAGAACUCCCACCAGGACUUUCCUGCAUUGUCUGAUGACAAUGAUUUAUUGAACUGACUUAAGCUAAUCUCUG